ACGAACGCUGGCGGCGUGCCUAAUACAUGCAAGUCGAGCGCAGGAAGCAAGUUGAUCCCCUUCGGGGGUGACGCUUGUGGAAUGAGCGGCGGACGGGUGAGUAACACGUGGGCAACCUGCCUGUAAGACUGGGAUAACCCCGGGAAACCGGGGCUAAUACCGGAUAAUACUUUCUUUUGCAUAAAGGAAAGUUGAAAGGCGGCUUCGGCUGUCACUUACAGAUGGGCCCGCGGCGCAUUAGCUAGUUGGUGAGGUAACGGCUCACCAAGGCGACGAUGCGUAGCCGACCUGAGAGGGUGAUCGGCCACACUGGGACUGAGACACGGCCCAGACUCCUACGGGAGGCAGCAGUAGGGAAUCUUCCGCAAUGGACGAAAGUCUGACGGAGCAACGCCGCGUGAGUGAUGAAGGUUUUCGGAUCGUAAAACUCUGUUGUUAGGGAAGAACAAGUUGGGUAGUAACUGACCCAACCUUGACGGUACCUAACCAGAAAGCCACGGCUAACUACGUGCCAGCAGCCGCGGUAAUACGUAGGUGGCAAGCGUUGUCCGGAAUUAUUGGGCGUAAAGCGCUCGCAGGCGGUCCUUUAAGUCUGAUGUGAAAUCUCGCGGCUCAACCGCGAACGGUCAUUGGAAACUGGAGGACUUGAGUACAGAAGAGGAGAGUGGAAUUCCACGUGUAGCGGUGAAAUGCGUAAAGAUGUGGAGGAACACCAGUGGCGAAGGCGACUCUCUGGUCUGUAACUGACGCUGAGGAGCGAAAGCGUGGGGAGCGAACAGGAUUAGAUACCCUGGUAGUCCACGCCGUAAACGAUGAGUGCUAGGUGUUAGGGGGUUUCCGCCCCUUAGUGCUGAAGUUAACGCAUUAAGCACUCCGCCUGGGGAGUACGGCCGCAAGGCU
rnacentral:rRNA from 1 species